rnacentral:rRNA from 1 species
GACGGAGGGGGCUAGCGUUGUUCGGAAUGACUGGGCGUAAAGGGCGCGUAGGCGGUUGAUUAAGUUAGACGUGAAAGCCUCAGGCUCAACCUGAGAACGGCGUUUGAUACUGGUCGACUUGAGGACGAGAGAGGAAAGUGGAAUUCCGAGUGUAGAGGUGAAAUUCGUAGAUAUUCGGAGGAACAUCAGAAGCGAAGGCGGCUUUCUGGCUCGUCCCUGACGCUGAGGCGCGAAAGCGUGGGGAGCAAACAGG